CCUGGUGGCUCAGAGGUUAAAGCAUCUGCCUGGAAUGCAGGAGACCCAGGUUCGAUCCGUGGGUCAGGA
rnacentral:tRNA from 1 species